UUAAGUUAUUAAGGGCGCACGGUGGAUGCCUUGGCACUAGAAGCCAAUGAAGGACGUUACUAACGACGAUAUGCUUUGGGGAGCUGUAAGUAAGCUUUGAUCCAGAGAUUUCCGAAUGGGGAAACCCAGCAUGAGUUAUGUCAUGUUAUCGAUAUGUGAAUACAUAGCAUAUCAGAAGGCACACCCGGAGAACUGAAACAUCUUAGUACCCGGAGGAAGAGAAAGAAAAUUCGAUUCCCUUAGUAGCGGCGAGCGAAACGGGAAGAGCCCAAACCAACAAGCUUGCUUGUUGGGGUUGUAGGACACUCUAUACGGAGUUACAAAGGACGACAUUAGACGAAUCAUCUGGAAAGAUGAAUCAAAGAAGGUAAUAAUCCUGUAGUCGAAAAUGUUGUCUCUCUUGAGUGGAUCCUGAGUACGACGGAGCACGUGAAAUUCCGUCGGAAUCUGGGAGGACCAUCUCCUAAGGCUAAAUACUCUCUAGUGACCGAUAGUGAACCAGUACCGUGAGGGAAAGGUGAAAAGCACCCCGGAAGGGGAGUGAAAUAGAACCUGAAACCGUGUGCUUACAAGUAGUCAGAGCCCGUUAAUGGGUGAUGGCGUGCCUUUUGUAGAAUGAACCGGCGAGUUACGAUUUGAUGCAAGGUUAAGCAGUAAAUGUGGAGCCGUAGCGAAAGCGAGUCUGAAUAGGGCGUUUAGUAUUUGGUCGUAGACCCGAAACCAGGUGAUCUACCCUUGGUCAGGUUGAAGUUCAGGUAACACUGAAUGGAGGACCGAACCGACUUACGUUGAAAAGUGAGCGGAUGAACUGAGGGUAGCGGAGAAAUUCCAAUCGAACCUGGAGAUAGCUGGUUCUCUCCGAAAUAGCUUUAGGGCUAGCCUCAAGUGAUGAUUAUUGGAGGUAGAGCACUGUUUGGACGAGGGGCCCCUCUCGGGUUACCGAAUUCAGACAAACUCCGAAUGCCAAUUAAUUUAACUUGGGAGUCAGAACAUGGGUGAUAAGGUCCGUGUUCGAAAGGGAAACAGCCCAGACCACCAGCUAAGGUCCCAAAAUAUAUGUUAAGUGGAAAAGGAUGUGGCGUUGCCCAGACAACUAGGAUGUUGGCUUAGAAGCAGCCAUCAUUUAAAGAGUGCGUAAUAGCUCACUAGUCGAGUGACACUGCGCCGAAAAUGUACCGGGGCUAAACAUAUUACCGAAGCUGUGGAUUGUCCUUUGGACAAUGGUAGGAGAGCGUUCUAAGGGCGUUGAAGCAUGAUCGUAAGGACAUGUGGAGCGCUUAGAAGUGAGAAUGCCGGUGUGAGUAGCGAAAGACGGGUGAGAAUCCCGUCCACCGAUUGACUAAGGUUUCCAGAGGAAGGCUCGUCCGCUCUGGGUUAGUCGGGUCCUAAGCUGAGGCCGACAGGCGUAGGCGAUGGAUAACAGGUUGAUAUUCCUGUACCACCUAUAAUCGUUUUAAUCGAUGGGGGGACGCAGUAGGAUAGGCGAAGCGUGCGAUUGGAUUGCACGUCUAAGCAGUAAGGCUGAGUAUUAGGCAAAUCCGGUACUCGUUAAGGCUGAGCUGUGAUGGGGAGAAGACAUUGUGUCUUCGAGUCGUUGAUUUCACACUGCCGAGAAAAGCCUCUAGAUAGAAAAUAGGUGCCCGUACCGCAAACCGACACAGGUAGUCAAGAUGAGAAUUCUAAGGUGAGCGAGCGAACUCUCGUUAAGGAACUCGGCAAAACGACCCCGUAACUUCGGGAGAAGGGGUGCUCUUUAGGGUUAACGCCCAGAAGAGCCGCAGUGAAUAGGCCCAAGCGACUGUUUAUCAAAAACACAGGUCUCUGCUAAACCGUAAGGUGAUGUAUAGGGGCUGACGCCUGCCCGGUGCUGGAAGGUUAAGAGGAGUGGUUAGCUUCUGCGAAGCUACGAAUCGAAGCCCCAGUAAACGGCGGCCGUAACUAUAACGGUCCUAAGGUAGCGAAAUUCCUUGUCGGGUAAGUUCCGACCCGCACGAAAGGCGUAACGAUUUGGGCACUGUCUCAACGAGAGACUCGGUGAAAUCAUAGUACCUGUGAAGAUGCAGGUUACCCGCGACAGGACGGAAAGACCCCGUGGAGCUUUACUGUAGCCUGAUAUUGAAAUUCGGCACAGCUUGUACAGGAUAGGUAGGAGCCUUUGAAACGUGAGCGCUAGCUUACGUGGAGGCGCUGGUGGGAUACUACCCUAGCUGUGUUGGCUUUCUAACCCGCACCACUUAUCGUGGUGGGAGACAGUGUCAGGCGGGCAGUUUGACUGGGGCGGUCGCCUCCUAAAAGGUAACGGAGGCGCUCAAAGGUUCCCUCAGAAUGGUUGGAAAUCAUUCAUAGAGUGUAAAGGCAUAAGGGAGCUUGACUGCGAGACCUACAAGUCGAGCAGGGUCGAAAGACGGACUUAGUGAUCCGGUGGUUCCGCAUGGAAGGGCCAUCGCUCAACGGAUAAAAGCUACCCCGGGGAUAACAGGCUUAUCUCCCCCAAGAGUUCACAUCGACGGGGAGGUUUGGCACCUCGAUGUCGGCUCAUCGCAUCCUGGGGCUGUAGUCGGUCCCAAGGGUUGGGCUGUUCGCCCAUUAAAGCGGUACGCGAGCUGGGUUCAGAACGUCGUGAGACAGUUCGGUCCCUAUCCGUCGUGGGCGUAGGAAAUUUGAGAGGAGCUGUCCUUAGUACGAGAGGACCGGGAUGGACAUACCUCUGGUGUACCAGUUGUCGUGCCAACGGCAUAGCUGGGUAGCUAUGUGUGGACGGGAUAAGUGCUGAAAGCAUCUAAGCAUGAAGCCCCCCUCAAGAUGAGAUUUCCCAACUUCGGUUAUAAGAUCCCUCAAAGAUGAUGAGGUUAAUAGGUUCGAGGUGGAAGCAUGGUGACAUGUGGAGCUGACGAAUACUAAUCGAUCGAAGACUUAAUCAA
rnacentral:rRNA from 1 species